rnacentral:misc_RNA from 2 species
CACACUCCAAGCUGUGCUUGAUGUUGGACGGCUCCGAGACGUAGUUUGUACGGAUCGGACGUCUGGAACGUGUGGGCGUCGGGCGUCGGACCACGAGCGUAGCAAGACUUUCUCAGUCACAAUCGUUCUGUGUCGCCGGCGGUCGACGGUCUUUCUUACUUGUCUCAA